rnacentral:rRNA from 1 species
UACGGAGGGUGCAAGCGUUAUUCGGAAUUACUGGGCGUAAAGCGCACGCAGGCGGCUUGUUAAGUCAGCUGUGAAAUCCCCGGGCUCAACCUGGGAACUGCAUUUGAAACUGGCAAGCUAGAGUCUGGUAGAGGCAGGUGGAAUUCCAGGUGUAGCGGUGAAAUGCGUAGAGAUCUGGAAGAACACCGGUGGCGAAGGCGGCCCCCUGGACUAAGACUGACGCUGAUGUGCGAAAGCGUGGGGAGCAAACAGG